rnacentral:lncRNA from 1 species
CUCACCAUUAACCUGCCAUCUUUCCUUUUCUUUUUAUUUCAACAAAUUUGAACCAAGAAUUAAAAAAAUAUCAUCACAACCGUUUACACUAUCUUAUUUAUUCACAUGACAUGCCACAAAAUGGACAAUAUUGAUCAUAUCAUCUCAAAAUUAAACAUACUUACCCUAAUUCCGUGAACAUGCACAAAAACAAAUAAAUUGCAUCCUUUGUUCAGAGCACAGAAAUUUAAAAAAAACACGCAAAGGAACAAUUACAAAAUUUCCAUGUACAUUUCUGAAGAAAAUAUGAACAUCUCACGAAUUUGCGUGAGCAUCAUGGAAAAUCACAUAAACUUUCUGGCAUGGACGCUGCAGCCACAAACCCAUAAUGGAAGAUGCGGAUACGGCAUCAUGGGCAUCAACAAGAAGAGUGACGUAUGAGAGAAAAAGAUACGGUUGGUGAAAAUAAUUGGCAACGUCGACGAGGCGUGGCUCCGGCGAACUCAAAACGUGGAGGAGGUCACCCAUCCGUGGACCACGCAAAGGAAAUUACUGCUGAAGAAGAAGCAUGCGGCGCGAAGCACAUGGAUCCACCUGGAGAAGCCCGCCCCUCCCUCCAUGGAUCCGCCGUCCAUAGAUCCAUGUGGAGGAGCUCGCCUCCAUGGAUUCACCUUCCGUAGAUUCCACGCAGAAGUGAGAAAACGGAGAGGAAAAGGGGAGGAGAAACUCCAGCAACUUGCCUCGCCGGGGCCUCGGUCGCCACACAAAUCUUGCCGCCGCCGCCUCCGGACUCUGUAGAUCCGGUGAUGAUGCACCGCCGUUUCGGUCGCGCCUCCAAUCCGGCCACCGCCGCCGCCGUCUCCUUGCUAGCGCCGGCGAAAAGAGAGAGCGUGAGAGAGGGAUACGGAGAGACGGGUAGGGUGGGAUUGAAAAGGCAAAGACCGGUCAAGAAGGUAACAGCAAGGAAGUACAUUGCUUCACGACAUUGGUACACAUUAGUAGUUUUAUAGAUCGUCUCAUACAGUACCACGUAGGAUUUUUGAUGAUGUGAAGGAGAGAGAGCGAGGAGAAAGAAAGAGGUCGUUGCUUCGCGAAACAACCACCUCAUGAGCUAAAUUGUAGGACUACGAAACAACUUAACAACUAUUGUACGAGUUAUUGUAGCCACGCAACUCAUAAUAUUUUAUUUUUCUUAUGCGCAAAUUAAGGAAUUAUAUACCACUACCAGACAACUUAUAGGACAACCUAUUGUACGAGUUGCCUGUUGAAUCAUCUCAAGAUUACGUGUCAAUGCAUGAGACCACCUAUUAGACGACACCAAUGUAUAAGCUCCUUCCUAAUCUCUUGUUAUUUCUCUGUUUAAACAGCAAGGUUCCCAUCCGACGGCUGCGCAAGACCAGUGCCGCGGCCCACCAACGCAGCGAUGAAUUUCCAUCCCACGAGGCUAGGGCGCAGCCGCGCAGGGCUUUUUUAGGGUCUGUUUGGCAGAGCUCCACGCAGCUCCAGAUCAAAAAAAAUAACAGCUCCACCACAGAGCAGCUCCAGCGUGGAUCUAUGCUCUCACCGUGGAGCUGAGCAAAAGUGUUUGGCUGAGACAACAGCUCCAAAUCCAGAAACAGAGUUUUUGGUUGGAUUGUCAACUAAUGCCCUUGGUGUUUUCCAUUUUUUCUUCUCAUUUUUUUUCUGCUUAUAAGAAAUAAAUGUAAAUGUGAGAAAACAGUUAUGCGUCAAUUAACGAUUUGUUGUCAACUGUGUCGUUUAGCUGGUUGCCGGCUUAUAUAAAGUUUCUAGUGAAUUUAUGUUCGGCGUGGUAGCUACCGAUUGGUGUUUUCCCAUUUUUUAUUCUCAUUUUUUUCUAAUUACGGGGGAGGUACGCAAUAGUGAUCAUCCUGCUGUCAUAUUUGGCCGUUGAAUCCAUAGAUCGAUAAAGACCGGACAAAAGCCCAGUCAUUUCCCAAGAAGUUGAUUAAUUGUUCAUACAUAAAUUAAUUGUUCAUACAUAAAUAAUUGUCCAUACAUAAAAAAUAAAUUUGAUAAUUCACUACUUCAUUACAUUCUACCUCCAAGCAAGAGCAAGAUUGGUGGCCAGCUCAUCGCGAAAAAUAUCCAUUGUAGUGACACUGCCUUCUGAAGUAGAUCCAUCCGAUGGAACUACAAAUCGAUUGUACCGUUGCGGUAUUGUAGGGACAAAAUUAGGAUCACAAUCAAACCGAGCAAAGUCUGAAUCCUCACUAUUAUGCUCACGAAUGAAAUUGUGAAGGACCAUACAAGCAAUAACUACCAUUUUUUGUUUCCACAUCGGGUAGUUCGGCAUUUUGUAUAAAAUUUGCCACUUCAUUUUCAAUUUCGCUCAAUCACAUUUCGAAUAGAAGAAUGGAUGCGAUUGAAUUUUUCCUUUGGAGUUUUUGGUUCCAUACCUCUAUGCUACUCAGGCAUAUGAUACCUCUCACCCUUAUAUGGAGCUAGAUAACCUGGACGAUUGGGAUACCCCGCAUCGACAAUGUAGUAUUUACCUACAAAUGAUGACAAAAAAUAAAUUUAUUUAUAGUCACGCAUAAUGGUAAAGUAACUAUUUCAAUAAAUUUUACCUUGCGGUGGAUGUGGAAAGAAUUUCUCGUCCACACUCAAUGCAUUGUAUAACACACUUGUGUCAUGCAUAGCUCCUGGUUGGCCCGUUGACACAUAUGUGAAAAUGUAUUAUGUCAACAAGUCCACCUCUGCUACGCAGACAGGCAGAACUGCACUAUAAGCCCACAAACUAGUUCAUUAUAUGUGACAAGUUGUCUAAUUUUGAUUAUGUAAACUAUAUGCAUUAUACAUUUUUGUGCACCCAUCAAAUUUUAUCUAACUUCAUUAUGGAUGCUGAGGUAAACAAGCGAUUCAAAUCGUACCACCCUUAAUCGACACUUGCUAUUAGCUGGGCGAUAAAUAGUGAUGCAAUUUCUCGCUGAUCUUUUCCUCUCAUUUUCAGGAUCUUAUCAUGGCUUUCGUGUAUAUACAGGAGCUUCAAAAUAAGCUUGUUUGUACAUAAUGCUCUAUACGUGCAUUUUUACGGACUAUCGUUGCACACAGUUGAGGUGAUUUUCCAAGAAGCCAGAGAUUUUAUCUGUCAGGAAAUAAUAAGGGUCCCUACACCUGCUGAAUAAUUUAACCAGAUAUGAUUAACAUAAGGUAUUGACAAUCAGAUAUUUCGGGUCUUUCGACAAAACAAGCAACAAAGUAUAGAAAUAGGACAAAAUAUGCGAGAAUGCCAAAAUCGUACCAAGCCAUCCGCGGCCACGCUACCACCGUUGGCCGCGUCGCCCAGGCCAGCCGCGGCCCGGCUUGCGCCAUCCAGGCCGGCCGCGCCGCCCAGGUCAGCCGCGGCCAGGCUUGCGCCGCCCAGGCCAGUCGCGGCCGGGCACGCCGCCCAGGCCCGCCGCGGCCAGGGUCCCGCCGCCGGGCGCGCCAGUGACACCGCCGGGACGGGGAAGUCCAACCCUAGGGGCCGGAUUGGAAGAUGAAGGGGGCGGAGGAGGUGGAGGAGGAGCUGAUCUCCUCAUUCCCGGCGGCGGUCCGGCCACCGACGGAGACGAAGGCGCUGGAGGUGGCGGCCGGCGCUGGAUGCGGCGGGGAAGAAGGAAGAAAGAAAGCGUCGGAUGAAAAAAAGAGGGGCGGCGCGGAGAAAAGAAUAGACACGAAUCGGUACGAGGAUGUGUAUAAUCGAUGGCAUUGGUGGGUAAUUUCCACCAACUCCAUGAGGGGUUACAAAACCAGCAUUUUGAGAGCACCCCAGGGGUGCUUCGUGGAUUUGGUGGAUCUGGAAGCUGGAUCCAAUUUUUUUGCGGAUCUGGAUUUCACGGAGCUGCACCGUUUAGCUGGAAAAAAUGGGAGCAGAGCUGUUUUUAAGGAUCUGGAGCUGCGUGGAGCUCUACCAAACAGACCCUUAGGUAGCCUUUGGUUUGGAGGUAAAAUGGUAUGGAUCCGUACCCAAUUUUAAGGAUAGAAUAGAUCCAUCUCCGUGUUUGAUGGGAGGAUGGAACUGUUCGAUUAUUUUUGAGACAAUUCCUUCUGCGCCAUUAUAAAAGGUCUUGGUUCCGUAUCUGCUAUCUGCCAUGAAAAAAAGUUCUUGGUCCCUCAGUGCCAUUGGCUCAUGUUUUUGUUCUCUGAGUGCCACCGCUGUUACUUCGAUCCGUUACGUAAAAUUGACGUUAGGAGCUAUCUGGACGUCAGUUUAUUUUGUAACCGACAGUUUUACCCUUAGUUUUCCUUUACACUCCCUGUCUUCACAGCCCUUUCUUUUUUCUUCCUUUCCUACCCGGUGGAGGACCUCCAUCCGCCCCCACGGCCUGCCGCGAGGCGUAGCAAUGGCAGCGGGGCGCAGAGAUUGCGAGCGGCGCGGCAGGGCGUAGCGGCGAGAUGGGAGCGGCGGCUACUGCUCGUUCUCAUUGGUGCCAUCGGCGUCAAUCCUAGCAGUCAGCCCCCGGCGUGGCCGCGACACCCUGGGCAAGGCCGGCCCCGCAAGUCCUCUAGGAGCAGCUCGAGCAACAGAGAGCUUGGCCUCAGGGUCGAAGGGCGUCCGGCGACGUAGCUCGGGGGGAGGAGCUCGGGCCGGAGCAGCGCGCGCGGAGCUAGGCUCCAUGGAGGGCGGCACGAUUGAGGCAUCUCCGCUUCCCUCACCUCCAGGAUGGUGCCCGCCCCGGCGAAGACCUCGCACACCACCAUGCUCGUGGUGCUGAUGGGUGACGUCCGCGCCUGUUUAGUUGGGAGAAGAAAGCAGGAAGAUGAACAGAAGGGUAAAAUGGACAUUCGGUCUUGCUGGUAGCUUCCUUUUCCGCUAAUCUAGACAGAAGUGGCACCGAGGUCCAAAAAAAGUUGGAGCGGUGGCUCCCAAGGCACCGUAAAUUUUUUAUGGUAAAUAUGGAAUUAGAAACUUUUUUAAUGGCUCACGGGGAAUUGCCUCAUUUUUUUCGAAAGAGUGAGGAUGGAAGGGUUCUUAUUCCGUUAACACCGUUAACCGUGGGGUCCGUUUGUCAGUGAAACAAGUCUCUCACCCUCUUCCUCAACGCUGCCGCCGCCCUUCAUUUCAAGCCCUUGCAUCCGCUCGACCGCUCAAAUCUGAACCAUGCGCAAGCUAGAAAUAUCAGCAAUCAACUAAUCAUUCCUUCACACCUUGGCCUGAAGAUCACACCCGAAGCAAUAUGUCAUUUCUUCAUCGGAUUAUGGAGCAAGAAAAGAAAAUUUUGCCACGUCUUGUCUCCGUCCAGCACCCGUCGCUGCCAUGCGCAUCGGCCGGUCCAGCCCCUUCCGUUGAGCCUGCUCGUCCCGUAGGCAAGCCCCCGUCGCCGCAGGUGAGCCGUCGCCCCGCAGCCCUGCUUGCUGCUCGCCUUGGCCGUGCGCCUCGCCGGCGGCCGGCCGCCGCCCCACGGCUCGCACGCCCCGCCUGCGAACCCCACCGCUGCAGCGCUGCUGCUCGGCCUGGCCUCGCGCCCUGGUUGCAAGCUUCCGGCGGGCGGCGGCGCCGGCAAUCGGCACCCGCCGCUUGAACACCUGUGCGAGAGAGACGCGAGCAAGCUAACGGUUUUUCACGCCGUUGGAAAGGGAUGAGCUCGUCCGACCUGAAAUUUGGAAUGAGCCGGUGCAGCAUCUCGAAGGAAUAUUCUUGUUGUGGGAUGGCUCCAUCCCUCGAGUCCAUGAGCCAACGCAGUGAAAAUUGGGAUGGAACGGCUCCGUUCCAGUCCAUUCCUCAGACGCAUCCAUAGGUGAUGACUGAGGGCAACUGGAUUCGACUGCUUGAUACGUUGAAGUGCAUAAUGAUACAAAUCUUGCUGUUUUCUGAAGUACUAAUUUAUGUAAGAGUUGGAUUUUAAAAGCAAUAGCCUUUAAAUUAAAACCUCCAAAGAUCAAGGAAGGUUCUCUUUUUUUUGUCACAAAAAUAAUUCUAACUCUAGAAAUACUCCCAUGAAUAGAGGGCUUCCUAAAGACCCUAGAAAUAGAGGAUGGAGGAGGAAAUUUGAAGACCUCCCAAAAUAGAGAGAUAUGUAGAGAACCUACUGAAAUGCGUUUUCUUUAUUAACCCUUUAAACUUAGGAUAGGAGACUGUUAUAGGAUCUUGCUUAUUUUCUCUCCUACACGACUCCAAGCGAGCAGUCCUUAGCGUCACCAUUACACGUGAGUUCAAACUUCUUCAUAUUCUCCUAUUCUUCUCCUCCUUUUUGCCUUUCUCAGUCGUCUCAGUGGUUUGAUACCCCACACAUGCUCAUAGCCACUAUCUGCCCACCUCGAUUUUGUGGUCUUUCUCUCUCUUGAUCCUUUAGCCUCCUGCAAAUCCCUAAGAUUGACCACAAUGGAAGCUAAAAACAGUAUAUAGGGAAUAAACAAUUUCUAUACUAAUCCAAAUACAUUAUAAAACUAGUCCAUAUAACAAUUUAUUUCUCUCCUUCCUUCACUUUCUCUCCAUCUCUCUCCUUCCUCCCCUUUCUCCAUGCCCCACCGCUACUGCCUACUUUUUGUACUGGCCAUUAUGACAUUUGCAAUAUCUAUAGCCUAUAGAUCACUGUCAUAUGAUCCCACCUCUAAGGACUACUUGAUCCAAAUACAUUGGGUCGACCUAACAAUUCACUUGACCAAUUUUACCAUCAUUUUAUUAUAUGGAACUUAGAGUAUUCAAUGUAUGUUAUUUUAGAUCUAGCACUUGUCUUCUUUUGUUUUAAGAUUAACCAAUUGAUUAUAGUCCUUAGAGUUUAUUUAAAUAAAACUGUAGGGUUAUUAUUGAAGAGAAAAUCUCAUAAUAAGCCUGAAUUUUAUCUUGUAGGUAUAUUUUCUCACAUAGCUCCUUGAACUUGUAAUUUACAUUAUCAACCCCCUUAAAUUGAGUUAUUAUCUUACUCUUGAAAAUUCUAAAGCAAAUUCUUAAAUUUUUUUAAUCAGGUUUACAUACAAAAUUGUGAAAUUAAACCAUUUUGUAUUGAACCUUGAUCCUCUUAUCUUUUAGCGAAAAAAAGCCUUCGCUCUAGAAGCUUGGAACUAGAAUCCUUAGGGCCUGUUUGUUUGAGCUACAACUUUUGAGCUUUUCUAAGAAGUUGUUGGUGCCUGGUCUGCAGUGUGGAGCUUGCGGCAGCCAAGGGUCUGCGGUGUGGAGCUUGCGGCAACCAAGGGUGGUGCGGCACCUUCAGAGGCUGCGAUGCCUGCAGCUGGUGGCACGGGCGGCGACGUCUUAGCAGCAAUGCUCCGUCGAUUUCAACUUGCGCGGCGGGUGUGGCGGGGACACCUGUGGUCCUUGCGGCAGUGCUCGGUGAUGGUGGGGACGCCUGCAAUGCGUCACCAAAAGCCGAUGUUUGUGUGUGGCAGCAAUGAUGCGUGAUGACGGUGUACCACGGCUAUGCGCGGUGAAGUCUUCUAGGUGAAAGCCAUUCCACAAUGGAUGCGCGUCCGACGGCGCUAUGCAUCGUGCCCUUUCUUGGAGGCGAGGCGUCGUUAUGGAAGCUUUGCUUCACCUCAUCCUGUCAUGUUGGCUACUCUGUGGUUUAUUUGGUGGUUGGCACUACUUGCUCGUGAGGUGUGGUUAGGUCGGCACGCUGAGCUUGGUGUUGACGGUGGAGACCAAGUUGCCGAUUCAAGGUGCAUGUGUACGCGGUGGCAGAUGGCGGCUGAGAAGAGGUGUUGGUGGAUUGGUGGGCAUGAUUUCUGUUGGCAGUUUAGGGUGGUGGUUUGGUGUGCCAUGCGUCUAACCACAAAGUUGGCAUGAAGGUCGCCGUGGGAGGAGUGGGAUGACAAAGGAGCACCUGUGUGGUGUGGCGGCAGAUGUGCCCGCAUAGCGGUGGCCGUUCUGGUGCAAGGAGACCUUCUAUCGGCCGUUGGAGGCCCCGUGUGGCACAUCUGCUAUCUUUGUUGAGGCAACUGGGUUGCCUUGAGCUAUGGUGUGUGCGGUCAGAUCACGGUGGGUGGGGUCAUCAUGGCGACGGUCGGACGCAGCUACUCAUGUUUCGGCCUAAGCUUGCAGCGGUCAGGGUGGCCAUGCUCUGGCUAUCAGGGGCUGGUCCGGCAUGUGACAACGUCGAGAGGUGGCGCAAGUGGAUCCGAUGGUGUGACAGCUACACAGCUUGCUGUGGACUAUGGCAACUAGCCCUACAUGGCAGUGGCUAGCUCAGUGUGGGACAUCGUCAGCCAUGAUGGUGCAAGCGGUGACAAAUGGCUUAUCGGUUUGAUGGUUUUAUCCUCCAGUGAUGGCGGUGCAGCUUGGCAAUCGGUUAGGAGUGGAGUGGUGUUUAUGGAGUAGCGAGGUGUCAUGCGGUGUCAUUAUGUUGUUGCUCGGUGUUGCAGUUGUAUUUGUUUGGUCCAGUUUGGAUUUUACCUUCUUUUUAAUAUAAUCGGCAUCGUUAAAAAAAUGGUAUGCUUCGUUAAAAAACAUGGUCCGGUAGGAAACCUUCCAAUCAACCCAUUUCUUUUCCGUAGCACACCAGUAUCUUCCUAAUACCCACUGACAAGCAUUCACACAAUCACAUCUAAGCUCACCUUUGACAACUAGCACAUCUUCCCCCAGCCCACCGUCCAGGCCCGUCCCUAGAGGUGUGCGACCCAUGCGACGGUACAGGGUCUCCAAUUUUUAAGGGCCUCGAUUUUCUAGUGCUCAACCCAUCAAGCCUACUAAUCCCUGGCCCAAAACAUGUUUCUCUUGAUCAUUUGGAUCACUGAAGCAACACCGAAACCCAAAGCUUCUUUUCCCAUCAUGCCGCCAAUGCAGUGGAGGCGUGGAGGCGUGGAACUUGAUUCCUCUUGAGAUCUUCUUGCUUCCGAACGGGACAUGCUCACGUACUGAGUUACACAGCUAGAAGACAAGCAAGUUAAUUGUAAGGUGAUUUUCUGUUUCUUUACUCGAUUGAUUGCUGAUCGAUUCUACUUAUUGCUUUACAUGGACUAGUUAACGAGCUUUUUUCUUAUCUUUUUUAUACAUGCACGUCAAUUGGUCUAGAUAUCUGGUGUUUCAAGAUCAAAGCUAUAUUUUCUGCAGGAAACCGAUCUAGAAAAUAUGAUUCUGCUCGCCAAAGGCAUAAGAAAAAAAACCAAAGGACAGAGGAAUGAACUCAACCUCAGGAAAAAGGCUAUGGAUAAGUAUAUUAUUAAAAAAUCGUUAGGAAGCCUCAUUUAAAGUUCUGAACAGGGCCUCGGUUUUUUGCGGGACGACCCUGCCACCGUCCGAUCCAUCGUACAUUCCACCGCGAAUCUAAUCGUCCACACUCCACCGAAUCUAAUCGUCCAUUCCGUCGAUUUGAAAAAAAGAUUAUGGUCCCACUCAUCAGGAGGUAUAAAUUCGCUCUCCCUCCAAACCGGGAGCCGAAGCCAAAUCAUCAGCGCAGCGCUGACGGCAGAGCGAAGCGAAACCAAAACCCCAGUCGCCCUCCUCCACUCCCCACCUCGUCGCAUCCGCCGCACCACGCUGCCGCUGUCCAGCGAUUCCAGAUCGAACGAUCGGUAGGGCGGUCCAGCGCGCUUCGCAGGUAAGGUUAUAUCCUGCGAGCUCUUGCGCGGCUAAUUUCCCAUUUUUAAUCUGGUUGGUAAUGUUUGCGGGAGGUCUGAUUCAUGGGUGGGUGCGCGCUUGGUUUGGGCCUCGGGCGAUCCGUUCUCAAGAGUUUGGGAACGGAGGGGGUGUUGGAUGCUGCGUGUUUCGGGCUCUUAGGAUUUAGUUCCCUUUUUGUUUGGUGUGUUGGGGAACAUUUCAGUACGGGGGUUUGUCUGUCCAUGAGGAAUUUGUGGGGAACUCUAGUGGAAUGCUGGGGUUUGUGGGACUGGAUGACGCUAGGAUUCGCUAGAGUUUGAUGAAUAUUGGCGGCUGGAGCAAAAUUUUUGGUGGGAUUGUGGUGAUCCUCUGGCCUCUGGUUUGCUUGUGUUUUGGGGGAUUUUUUUUGUCAGGUUUGUCAAGUCCCCGAGAGUUUCGGUUGUUUUAGUGGCAAUGCGUAUUUUCUUCGAUCCUGGUAUUUUUAGGUCGUAAUUUCGUUGUAUUUGUCCAUUGUGGGUUCAUGGAUUGCUGCAAUCAGGGGGUUAUGUUGUGUUUUGGGCUGAAAUCAGGGGGUUAUGUUGUGUUUUGGGCUGAAAUUGUUCGAUUCCUGGGUUGGGUUUCUGGAAUUGUUUGCGGGCUUCAGUUCUUUUUGUGUAAUUUAUUUGACCUCAUUAUACUGAUUGACCUUGGAAUCCAUCAUAGACGUUUGCACAGCGCAAAUGAGCAAGUGACUGGCUUGUUUACAGUUAAAUUGAAUUUUAACUUGUGAUGCUAUAGGUGAUCCUGGAGAUGAUAGUGAAAAUCUAGCAGUAGCACCAGCUUGGAUCAAGAAUUAGGGGGAAUGGACAAGCCACCAGAGCUUUCUCUGGGCUCAAUGCAUCUGGACAUUGCCUCUGCCUUCUAUGCUGGCAAGCCAGAGAUUGCUACCACAGCAGCAGCGCUCUCCCAGGCGCUUGGGCAAGCACAAACAUGUCCCCGCCUUCAGCCUUCACUGCAGAGCCUCCAGUCGUCGCUUCUUCUGUGGCCUCCGGUGAUAUGGUCUACAUGGGCUGCUGUGAAGCACCCUAUGCCAUUACCUCAUCUCCCUCCAGCUAAGAAGCUGAAGUUGCUACAAACUUCAUCAGUACUGACACCAGCUUUGCCAGAUACGGAGGCUUUGCCAGUUGUAGAGUUGCCACUGCCAAAGCUUCCAGUGCGUCAUCCAUUGCCAAAGCUGCAGGUGCGUCGGCCGUUGCCAAAGCUGCAGAUGCAUAACCCGUUGCAACAGGCAUCCCUAGUGCUGGAGAAAGAGUCACUGAAGCAGGAGAUGCCGGUAACACCACUAACAUCUGCAACCUCCGUUAACCUGUGAGUUUUAUCUCGUUGCACCUUAUCAUGUGAUUCUUAAGCUUUAAGUCUUAUGGUGUAUAUAAUGAGAUGGAAUGCUUCCAAAGAAUUGAAUAUCUUUCAGAUUACUUCCUGUUUGAGCCAUGCUGAAUGUUUUUGGAGAUAUUUGCCCAAAUGUGUAUGUGAAUAUCUAAAUCAUAAUUUAGUGAGAAAACCAGGACACAUUAAGAUAUGAUUUACAAAAAAUUAUGUAUAUUGUACUUGUUCCUUCUCUACUUUUGUCAGAGCAAGAAAGAGUUUCCUGGAAACUUGAAAUACUUGUGUCAAAAGGCUUAAUGACACAUCACCAUCUUUUGACGAUAUUUUUUUACUGGUGAAUUGUUUUUGUUCUCUUCACGAUGCUGAAUUCCCAAAAUUUGUGGAUUGAAACACUAUCUGGAUCGAAAAAUAAGACACCGGCAGGGAUAAGAAACUGCAAGUGCAAGAACUCAAAAUGUCUGAAGCGGUAGGUUCCCUAAUAAGUUUCUUCUAUGUUUGUGAAGGUCCUAUCAAUUUUCAUCCAAAAACUAUGCAGCAAAAGAAUUAUCUUGCCAUCGCAGUUGAAUUUUGGUUUUUGUUUUCUCUUCUUAUGUUUUCCUUUAGUUAUUUAGAUACAACACAUAAGCCUUACUCCAAACUGUUUGCAUGCUAAAAUAUCACUAUGGUUGUACCUUCAUCAUAUGUUGUGUGUCUGCCACCUUUAUUGUUUUAGUUCCACCUGGAUGUAAAAAGUUCACCUGAGUAAUAUGUAUAACAAUCACAUCGAAUAAAGUUGAAAGUUAGAAGAAAUGGAUAAAGAGCAACUGUAGGAACUGCAAGGAAAUAAUUUCACACAGCACCCUAUUUUAGUCUUUUCUCAAGAGGCAUGCAUGUGACAAUUUUUACUUGAUGUACGACUAAGGGCUCUGCUACUUCAUCUUUUUAUAACUUUGUCACUAAGUUGAUUGCUAUAUGAAACUUGCUUUAUUGUAUUGUAUACAGUCAGUGCACCAGACACAAUGGAUUGAGCAAAGCAACCUACAGUCACAUGCAUAUUGCCUUCACUAUAGAGAUGGAAGCUAAAAAACCAUAGAAAGCAGAAUUCUGGUCUCAAAUUUUGAAAGAGUAUAAGGAGUACAUAGGAAUCCUAUUUUAAGUCCCAUGUUGGGAAACUCAUACUUGUUGAGCAGUUAGCACCUUUCAUUUCUCUGAAUAGUGUGUCCCUUUUAACAACGAUGAGCUGAUACAUUUGAAUUUCUGUUGCUUCUGUUAAUGAUGUGCCCUCUGCGAUCAAGCACUGGAAACGGCAAAGCACCUGUUCUCCAGAUGCUCCUACACGUUGCAGGUGUGGCAUGAAGUCAGCACUUCAAUCAACAUUCAGAACACUGCACCGUUACAGCAUCAGUCACUGCUGGAUUGGUGGCUGCAGAAAAGAGCUGGUUUCACUACAAACAAGCGCAAAGGCCUUGAUUCAGCUUUCAUGCUAAUCUCCUGGAACCUUUGUAAGGAGAGGAAUGACGGAGUUUUCAAUCGUUCCCAGGCCAAGAAUGUCACUACACGAGUCCAACAGAUCACAGCAGAAGGUGAGAGGUGGUGCGCGGCAGGCGCCAAGAUCUAGCAGCUCUGGGCUGGCCAGGGAACCUAGGGACGCCAAACAUGGCGCUGUUGUUCUCAGCACACGCUUAGAACUCUAUAGCUAGGUUUCCACCCAUUGGUUGUAAAGGUUUUAUGUGUUAGCAAGUUUUGCAACUUGAACCGUGUGCGUGCGUCCGGAAGGCUUAAUACAAAGAUGCGCAGCUCUCCGGCGUAUUCACGAAAAAAACAGUUAACAGUUCUUAGCAUUUCAAUAAUAUUUUUUAUGUUACCUGGUUUCUUUUUUUAAGUCAUAAUCCUACUCAUUGGUCUUUUGAUUGAAUCAUUUCUAGGUAUUGUGAGUGUUUUGCAGCAGGGAGAUACUGCAAAGGUUUCAAUUGCACAAACUGUUAUAACAAUGGUAGUCAUGAUAAUGCAAGAGCAAGACAGGAUGCUAUCGAUGCUGUACUGGAACGUAGACCUAUGGCCUUUAUGCCCAAAGUCGAGAACAGAUCAUGCUCAAAGCAAAGUUCUGAGGUAGGGCAUGGUGUAUACUUUUAUUAUGCUGCUUAUGUUUAUUUCAGGGUCUCUACUUCUUUAAUAUCUUAGUUAUUCAACUAUCCUAUGUCAUUUGUGAACAAGAGUUGUUUGUUAUUUUCAUUUCUAAAUGGUGGAAGUACAAUAAAGGAAAAACUUGAAGUGACCUUUUAAGUAAAAUUGCAGGUAAUGUUUCUUGGGUUGAGAGUUUAAUAUCAUUGGAAAAAGUGUCACAUGUGAUGUGCACAAGUACUAUUUGAUGCUAAUUGUUUGGUUUUUUUUUACUUUAAAGGCCUUUUCUUUAUUUGGUCAUCUGAAGUUUUCUAUCCAUGAACUAUUUUAUGGUCAUGAUUUCAUUAUCUAACUUUCUAUCUUUUGAUACAUAUUCAAUGCUUUCGUAAUAUAGACAAAAUUUAACAUGAUCCUUUGUGUCAAUUAAAUGAUAAUAGUCGAUCACGAGGCAGGUAAUUGUUACCUAAGUAACAAACUGGAUGCUUGAGUUAAAAAGCAAUACCUUAUUAUGGUCAUAAUUUUGUUGCCUUACUUCCUUACGGUAUCUUUUCAAUGAAUGCAAAAAUUGCCAUGUUCCUGUGUCAGAGAAAGUUAACAGAGAAACAAUACAGAUACUGAGUUGCAUACUAUAUACCAUCAUGUCAUGUGUGAAUGUUAUCUCGUUUACGUUACAGGGAAAAGAAGCAGAAGGCCCACAUGUUGGGAAGCAUACAAGAGGCUGCAAUUGCCGGAAAUCAGAAUGUCUGAAGAAAUACUGUGAGUGCUUCCAAUCUAAUGUUCUCUGUUCAGAUAACUGCAAAUGCAUGGAUUGCAAGAACUAUGAGAGUAAUGAAGAGAGGAAAGCAAUUCGUGCCCAGAAGCAUACCGUCUUUGUGCAGAACAAGCAGAAUUAUGCUUCAAGUGGAAUUCUUCAACCAUCUUCAGUCCUUCCUCGUACAACAAAAAAUGACUCUGUUACCUCAAUGGCUGCAUCAGGCAUCCAUCAUCCCACUAGCAACAAUGGAUCUUCACAAAUAAUUCUUUUUAAACAUACUUUUCAAUGUUGUCAAUUGUCAUGUUUUCUACUUUCAUUAUAGGACUUCCAAUACAAUUUAAGGCUACCUUACUGUAGUAUACAUGAUAUGGGCUGUUGUGCUGCCCUUUGAAUAUGAGGGUUGUUGAUUACUCCCUCCGUUUCAAAUUGUAGGUUAUUUUAGUUUUUCUAGAUCCAUAGAUAUAAUUAUGCAUCUAGAUAUACACUAUAUCUAUGUGCAUAAUAAAAAAUAUGCACCUAGAAAAGCCAAAACCUUCUACAAUUUGGGACGGAGGGAGUACCUAAUUAGUAAUUCUACUCUUAAAUCUUACUUAUUUGAUUUAUUUUUUUUUCUAGAAUACGCAGGAGAGCUGCGUAUCAUUCCAUUAAGAAGAGAUAAAAGUACUAAUACAACGCGGGCCUAAACCGGGCACACGCACACGGUAGAUGGUUCUAUGGGCUGAUUACACGAGGCGGGAGCUCCUAGAUAUUAAACCACGAAUGGCACAUCAUCACAGACUCUCAAAAUGCCAUCCUACACUAUAUAGCCAAUGUGCCCCAGCCAUGAACCAGGUCGCCGCUUCUUCCGCGACUGCUACUGCUAGCUGUUGCGGUAUCUGUUGAGGGUCUCCGGUGAAGACCCGAUUGUUUCGCUCUUUCCAAAUGCGCCAGGAGACCAAGAUGAUUGUGGAGUCGAACCCUUUCUUCCUGGCACCAUGGAAGCUUCGUCUCCAGAUCAACCACCAAUCCAAGAGUAGCUUCGUCUCCGGAUCAACCACCAAUCCAAGAGUGAAUGCCCGGGGGCUGGUAUGGAUGAGGCAUUGCCUGUCAUUUGAUCAACUGAGUGCCAUACCUGCUGCGUGUAACUGCAAGUGGCAAGCAGAUGAUCAGAGGUCUCGGGCUCCUGGCAACAUAGACAACACUCGUCCCAAUUCUGUAGCCCAUGCUUCUUACGGCGAGCCGAUGUCCAAAGCCGUUGCCUCGUAGCAAGCCACAUGAAAAGCUUAACGCGGAGGGGGGCCCAAGCUCGCCAGAUACAACCAAAAGCCGGUGAUUUAACUGACCCCACGAAGAAGAAAUUGUAGGCCGACCUAGCGGAGUAUGUGCCUGACUUCUCCCAACGCCACAUUAUCGUGUCCAUUGCACCUUCCUGGAGCUGGACAUCAGAUACAGCGUGCCAUAGCUGGACGUAUUGCGAGAUUGCAGCCACUAUUAGUCGUCCAACGAUGUCAUGGAUCCAUCUUUUCCCCAGAAGAGCAGCCGCCACAGUUCUUGUUUUCCUAAUAUUUGGCUUAACCAUGAGGCACAGGUCAAGAGCUAAAGUGCAGGGAGAGAGAUCGCCCAGCCAGCAGUCCUCCCAGAAGAGUGCAAUAUUCCCGCUGCCCAAGUGUACACGAGUGGAAAUCUGGAAGAUUUUGAGCAAGGUGUGGUUGUUGUCCAGCGUGUUGGCAAGGUACUUCCAUGGCCGCCGAUCAUCAGUCCUUUUGAACCACAGCCAGCGCAAACGGAGAGCCAACGAUGCCAUUCGGAGGUCCUGGAUUCCUAGACCCCCCACAGGUUUAGGACGGCAAGCAAUUGGCCAGGCAACAGUACAUUGCCCUCCAUUGGCGGCCCGCUUUCCUGCCCACAGGAAGCCUCUUCGGAGUUUGUCGAUUUCAUGGAAUACCCAGGCCGGGAUGUCAAGAGAAAUUAGAUUGUAGGUGCAAGUCGCUGUCAGGACCGAUUGGACCACGGUCAGCCUCCCCGCCUUGUUCAUGAGUUGAGCCUUCCAGCUAGGGAUUUUACUGGCCACCUUGUCAAUCAAAGGUUGGAAAUGGGUCUUCCUCAAGCGCCGAACCGAUAGGGGCAUACCGAGGUACUGUAUUGGAAACCCAACCACUUGAGCGGGGAAAAUACCUCUGAUCCUCUCAAUUUGCUGGUCACUACAAGCAAUUGGGGCGAUAGAGCACUUCUGCAGAUUUGUGCGCAGCCCUGAAGCGUUGCCGAAGAAGUCAAGAAUCCCUUUAAUGGCGAUUGCAUCCUGGACCACUAGCCUAGCAAAAAUGAUCACGUCAUCGGCGUGUAAGGAGCACUGAUGACAGAUAGUGUUAUCGGCUGGAUGGGAGAGGACACCCAAUUCGGCCGCCCUCCUAAGGAGCCGGUGCAGUACCUCCAUGACGAGUAUGAAAAGCAUUGGCGAAAGGGGGUCGCCUUGCCGCAGCCCUCUAGCAUUGCCUAUUGAUCGACCAGGGGAACCGUUGAGCAGAAUUCUGGUGGUGGCCAAAGACAUUACGACAGAGAUCCAGUCCCUCCACUUGGUCCCAAAGCCCCUCGCCUGUAGGACUUGCAGGAGGAAUGGCCAACACACCGUGUCGAAUGCCUUAGAGAUGUCAAGCUUAAUUAGCAGCUUGGCUUUCGUUUCCUGUGUAAGGUUUUUGCAGCUAGCUCAAUAAACUUGAAGUUAUCAUGGAUUGACCAUCCCUUGACAAACGCACUCUGGUUAACAUCCACCAGAUUGUGUAGCUCCUGACCAAGACGGUUGGCGAGCAGCUUCGCCGCUAGCUUUGUGAAACUAUGAACAAGGCUGAUAGGCCUAUAGUCGGCUGGGGACACCGCGUCCUGCUUUUUCGGUAUCAGGGUGAUAAGUGAGCUGUUCAGUCGGCCAAACUGGGCGCAUGCCCCAUGGUAGAGCGCGUCGAAACAUGCAAGAACGUCUCUCUUGAUCACCGGCCAGGCCGCUCUGUAGAAUUCCGCCGUGAAGCCAUCCGGCCCGGGGGCGCGCUCAUUUGGUAGCUCAACAAUGGUUCUCCAUAUCUCCGCUCAAGGAAUGGUGCUUCCAGAUGAUUGAGGUCAACUGGCAGCAAGCCUAGCGAUGCUAGGUCGAUGGCUUCUGUUCUUGACGAUGGAGUUCCAAGGAUCAUCGCAAAAUAGUUGAAUAGGAGCAGCUCCUUUUCGUCGUGUGUGAUUGUAGUGACGCCCUCGUGCUCAAGUCUAGCAAUGUGCUUCUUUCUUGUGCGGUGGCUGGCAUGUAUAUGGAACAAUUUAGUGUUGGCGUCACCCUCCUUCAGGAAGAGGAGCAUGGAGCGUUGGCGUGCAAUGGUGCGCUCAAGGGAGGAGAGGCCAAGAAUUUUGCAUUUGAGCUGACUCCUCAAACUGGAUUCCUCCUGCGAUAAGGACCGGUGUUCCUGCGCCCUAUCCAGCCACAAGACCAUGGCUCUAGCUAUCAUGAGCUGCGCUUUGACCUCCCCCACUUUCCUGCUACUCCAUUUCUGCAGCGCUUUGGAGGUGCGCUUUAGCUUCUGGUCGAGAGUGAUCAACGGGUCAUUUGUGGCAGUCAGACCACACCAGGCCAUCUGGACGGUUUCGGUGAAUCCCGGCACCCGAACCCACCAAGGUUCAAAGUGAAAGCGGCGCUUGGGGGAGUAGCUGGCGUUGGACGCCAGUAGAAGCGGGCAAUGAUCUGAGAUGUCCGACGAGAGGUCCUGGAGCAUGGCGAAACUGUAGCAGGCUUCCCAGUCCAUGAACACAAGGACCCGAUCGAGUUGGCCAUUACCGGGGCUUGCCGCUCAUUGCUCCGGGUGUAUCGUCUACCAUGGAGGUAGACCUCCUUCAAGUUGACAUCUUCAACGAAGCACCUGAAACGUCCGAUGUUGCGACGGUUAACAUUGGAGGUGCUCUUCUCCGCUGCCCGCAAAAUCAGGUUGAAGUCACCCACAACAAGCCACAUUGGCGAGGCCAGGGAGUGGACCAAGCGUAAUUCCUCAAGGAAUUCGAUUUUGUCAAUGUCCGGUUGAGGUCCAUAGACGGUGGUAAGGGUCCAAGGCAUGUCAUGGCCAUGAACCUGUGCUGAAAUAGUUAAAGAGUGGCGUCCAGCGUGCACCCGCACGCAUGACACAGCUGGGCCCUUGCAAGCGAUUAGGAUGCCCCCCCUGGUUCCCACAGCCGGUAUGUAAUCGAACGACAAGAAGGAACUACCCAGCAUUCCAGCAACAAGGAAAGGCGAGAUUACACUCAGUUUAGUCUCCUGGAUACAUACAAUCGACGCCGUCGUGUCGGACACCACUGUGCGCAGUGAGUCGCGCCGGGAACGUGCGUUCAGGCCGCGGACGUUCCACACCAGAACAUUUAUGUUGGCAACUUCCAUUAGUAACCGUGGCGACACGAGCAGCGGGGGUGCGGCAGCUGCGUUAGAUGCUGAGCUCUCCGGCCUGGCUCACCAGUUGCCUUAACUGGGCAUCAGAGAGCCCAUUGGCCAGCGGCAGUAUGUCACAGAGCGCAGCAAAGUGCUAGGGUUGCACAGUGGAAGACAGGAACUUGUCGAAGUUUCGGGGAGUAGCGUAGUCGUCAUCGGCAUCCUGGGACAAAACACCCAGUUUCUUCAUGGCGAGGAUCUCACCCUUGCGCGAUGGGCAAACUGCUGCAUUGAGAGGUUUGUUGGCGAGCCGGUUGCUACGGCGGGGCGUCACGGUGGCGAUGAGCGGCGCGGCUUGGAUCAGUGGAUGUUUUGCCAGCGGGGGGUCCAAGGGAAGUCGAACGCUGUGAAGAAAGGCCUCAGUUUUCUCCCACACCACCAUGGAGGAAGUAGGGGAUGGUGGUGACGUCGGCUGCGUCGCCAGUGGCGUAGACUCCCCCUGCGCCGGCGGCACCUGCUCGGACGGGGAGGGGUCGGUCGGCAAGCCCUGCAAGCCGUGAGGGCGCCUGGAGUACGUGCAGGGAGGGGUCGGGUGUUCCCAGGCCUGCAGUUCUCCGUGCCCGCCUAUGCCGGGCGUCCGACCCCCCGGCGACGAAGACAGAAGGGUGGUUUCAAGCAACAUGGGGUCGUCACGAGACGGGGGCGUAGAAGGCAGGAAGUCCGGGAGCAGGUCAACCGAGAGGUCAGCCGGGGGGGGGGGGGUGGGAGAGGUACAGGCACGCAUGGGCACCUCCCCAGACUUCCGGACUCCCGAUGCACACGCCGCGACGACGUCACGGUGACAGGGCAUGACCGCGUUGUGCCCUGGUCAUGCACCCUGCAAGACGUACCAGAGGUAGCGUGGACGUUCACGGGCGGGCUGCCCAUGGCCACGUACCCCACGCGAAGGACAGUCACAUUUGGUAAAGGAGCCAUAAUGGUGGGCCCCUCCGAGACCGGCGGGCAGUCAAGGGGCCGCGACUGAGGAGGAGCUACCGCCGUAAGCGCCAUCUCGGGGCUGUCGGGCCGCCGCAGCGUCCUGGACGGUGGCGGCGCCAAAGAGACGCGCCUGGAGCUGGGACCCGGAGCAUCGACGUCGUCGCAGCUGAAGAAGGAGCCGUCCUCGAAGCCUUGCCUAGUGGGGAAGCCAUGCAGACACGGACCAUACCCGUCCCCGCCAGAGGUGUUCCGAUCAGGGUCGCCGUCGCGGUCGGACCCCCCAUCACUGGACGGCAGCGACGGGGACGACGUCGGCGUGCGUGAACGGAAAUCCGCGACAUGGCGAAGCCGGAUGACAAUGUCGUAGAACAGGCCUUUCUUCUGCCUAAGGUAUGGCGGCAGGUUCCCCCAAAUUCGCUGCAUCGUCGGGUCCUUAUACGAAACUUGCUGUUCAUGUUCCGCAAUCCAGAGCCUACAUCACUUCGGGAUGCGGGCCGGAUCAUCAGUCCACGCCUGCACCUUCAUCGUUCUCAUGUCCAACCAAUCGCUGGGAGCGGACGCCACCUGUUCCACCCAACAACUAGGAGCAAGAAUUUUCCUGGCCGUUCGGGCGCUCCAGGCAUGCGCGGGGAUGCCGUCCAGCUCCAGAGAAACGCGGAAGAAGCAAGUAUCAGCGCUCGCCCGCACCAGCCGCGUCCAAGGGCGGAGAGAAAAACGGAAUUCUCCCACCGGCACGAACCUCGCAGCCAAGGCCGCGUCCCUGGUGCGCUGCGACGUGAAGGACACCAGGAAACACUCGGGCCAAAACUGACGCACCGAGAAAUUGUCCGACCCAGGCACCGGCAGCUCAGCGAUGGCUCGGCGAAAACCAUCGAGCGGCUGGUCGGCCGGGGCACCUGGGGCCACCGCCAGGAGCGAAAAGCGGAGACGCUCCUCCUCCGCGUCCAUGGCAGCAUCCCUGGACAGGAAGCAGGUAACCUCCCCCGGGCGGCAGUCCGGGUGGCCGGGGGGCAUAUCUUCGUCGUAGAGUGCGUUGGCGAUGUCAUCGUCCGAGGGGGUACCUGAACCCGACGGCCCUUCACGAAGCGGAGGCCGCGGUGGGUUCAGUUGCAGUGAUGACGAGACCUGGGAGCCACGUGGUUGAGGGGUGGCAUGGCUACCGCCCGCCGCCGACCGGGGGGCGGGGGCACGAGCGGAGCUUGACUCAAGGUGUGGUGUCGAGGGAGUGCGUCCUCCAGCGUCACGCCCAUGUGGCGUCGGAGGGGAAUCGCGGUGGGCGCGCACGAAGCGACGCUCAUCCCCAACGCCGGAGGAGGCGGAGCUAGUAGGACUGCGCGGACGCUUGCAGUCGCGGGCGAGGUGCCAGAACCCGUGGCACCGGAAGCACCGGAUAGGGCGUCGACAUUGGGCGAUGAGGUGGUUGAAGGAGAGGCAGUUGAGGCAACGACCAGAGAGCUCCGGCGGGAUGCGCUUCGUCGCUGGUCGGGGGUUGAGUGCUUCCAAGAACUGGCGCUGGGCCAGGCGUUGGCGCCGACGCCUUCUAGACCGAGAUCGGCGACUCUCCGCCGUAGUCCAUCCCUCAUCCGCUGCACCAGAGGAGGGGGCGGGAGGAUGGCCGCAGAUCGAUCCGCCGGAGGGCUUGGCCCCGCGNNNNNNNNNNNNNNNNNNNNNNNNNNNNNNNNNNNNNNNNNNNNNNNNNNNNNNNNNNNNNNNNNNNNNNNNNNNNNNNNNNNNNNNNNNNNNNNNNNNNGCAGCGCCCAAGGGGGGGACGGUCCGGUACCUCACGGCCCCCAGGGUUUCCUACCCAGCAGGGGGAAGGAGCCCCGGGGGUGGCGCAAGCUUGUUUGUGGGAUGGGAUGAGGGGGGGGGGGCGAUUGCUGGUGGAGGAGGCGGGGGGCUGGAGAGGAGGAUGUCGCGGUAGGACGGCCGCGGGAAGCCGCCAUAGGAGGACGAGUCAGAUCCGGAAUCGUCCAGCCACCGGACCUGCUUGCCUCGGCCGCCGGAUGUCCCCGUGGGGAAGAAGGGCUCCAUGCAAGGGGAGAGCUUUCGGGACGGGGAGGGGGAUCCUCCCGAUGCGGGGUUGGUGGUCACCGGUGCCGGAGUGGCCGCCGGCGAGGGGUGGUCGUGGGGACCGGGAGCGGAGCUCAGCGGGGAGCGCGGGGAGCGGAGCGGAGCGAGAGCCAUCCGUCGAAUUAUUUGAUUUAUAAACUAAAUGUCAAACAUAAAUUAAAUUCUGGUCGGUAAUACAUCUUAUUUUCGGCCGAUUGCAGAUAUUUUUGUGUUUUCCCACUUCUCCUCCCGUAGAUGAUAAUAAGGGUCUUGUUUCGGAAAGAGAUACUAAGGGCUCCUCCAAAUUAGGACCUCAUGGAGUUACUUACAGGUAACAGGUGUUGUUCAGCUCAUGCUUAUUGUAUAUUUCACUUCUGUGGUUAUUUAAUUUUUUUGUCUAAUACGUAUUUCCAAUCCUCCUGAAGGUCAGUUUUUGCAGACAUUAUCCAGAUGGAGGAUGUAAAUGAACUCUGUAAACAUUUAAUUCUAGCAUCAAGACAAGCUGCCGAAGCAUUUCUGGGUAUUGUUUUCUAUUCUCUAUAAAAACUAUGCUAGUGAACUACGACUUGAGAUGUGAUUUGUAAGAUAAAACACCACCUGCAGAUAUCAUGGUCACUACCCGGUGACAGGGACUUUUAGUUUUUCUUUAGAUGACUUGCUGAUUUCCAAGUGUUGGGACUCUGGGAGGGAAUUGCAUUGUUCCUCCACCAGCUGAAAUUAUGCAUAUAUAUUAAAGUACAAAUGAAAUUUUGAUAGUACAGGUAACUCUGUACUAAGUGGACGCCUAUCAGUCCAAAUCAAUCCCCAAAUGUAACCUGAUACUCCCCCUGUUUAAGACUUAAAAAAGGAAAAUCAAGUUAAGGCCCCAUGCAGUGUUUAGUCAGUAUCUCAAUCUUUUUUCUACUAUCUCCUGUAUUAGACCAAUCAGCCCAAGGGGCUAGAAUCAGUGGCGGACCUACGACCUGGGCUGCCCAGGCUGCAGCCUGAGUCCAAGGCCAAAAUUCCAAUGGUGGUUUAGGAAACGUUAGUCAAAUAUCAAAGGACAAACACAUACAAGUUUCUACUAAGCUGGGAGCAGCCCCGGUCCUUAGCAGUUCUUGGGUCCACCCCUGGCUAGUAGGUUGGUUAGGUGUUAGGAGCCAUAGGGUUGACCAGCUGGAUAAUAUUUCAUAAAAAUAAAUAUUAGAAUUUCCAAAGCAAUUAUUUUGUAUGCUUUGUCUCCAACCACAAACCACCACAAAAGGGAGUAGAGGAAGAACGCGGCAAGGCACCAGGGUUCAUCUAGAUUACCACUUUGACCACAUGUCAGGCAGUUGUGCCUUCUGGACUUAUUUUGCCAUACACUUACUGCAAAUGAUUUCAAGUGUUAUCUACCUUCUGGACUCACAGUUUAUUCACUUCUAAGUAAUUGCCACCAACAUUUUACAAGAAAGAUACUCACCUUUCAUUGAUCAUCUGAACUGUAGUAUUCUUUACUGAUAAAAGUCUCCAAGUCCUCACUCUUGAGAUGGGCAUCUGCAGAUAUUGAACUUUGGUUGCUAACUUUUGUUAAGUGCAUUUGCUUGAUAAUUCUUUGAUUAGUGCAUAUUAUAUAUACUUUGUAAACACCUUACCGUGAUAUAUUUUCUCUGAAACUCUAAUUUUUCAGAUUCAGGUAUUACGGAGAACACCAGCACAAAAAAGUUGGACCAAGCAGAAAGUUGCCUGUCCUCCAGAAACUCUGACAGGGAAGCAGUUCAGAAAGGACAGGACAUACAUGCAUAUUCACCAGAAAGCAGUUCUUAUGGAUGGAACGAUAUCAACAGGCAUAUGUCUCCUGGAUCCCAGGUAUUGAUGUGUGAUGAGCAUGAUGCUGUUCUCCAGUCGUCAAGAGCUGAAGAUGCAAUUCGCUCAACCAUGAUACAGAACUUGCCAAACAUUUUCAUAGGGCAAGAGAGGCGUGUACUGACCAGUUUCCGCGACUGCCUCUGUAAGCUCGCAAACUGUGGCAGAGUGCAAGGUUAGUCUUGCACACAUAAUGACCUAAGCUACUGAAGCAUUAUGUAUUUUGUUUUACUAUCUUUCCAUCUUCGGUAUUUGAUAUGGCAAAUAGUAUGGAAAUAAAUGCCUUUUCUUUCAACAGGAGAGAAGCUAUCUUCUAUGGGGGUGUUUGGUUCCCUUUGCUUAUUUUUAUCACGUGUCACAUCAAAUGUUUAGGUAUUAAUUAGGAGUAUUAAACGUAGACUAUUUACAAAAUCCAUUAUAUAAGUGGAGGCUAUCGGCGAAACGAACCUGAGCGAAUCUCAUGACGUAAUUAAUCGCAUCAUUAUUGUCAAAUCAUGGACUAAUUAGGCGUAAUAGAUUCGUCUCGCCGUUUAGCCUCCACUUAUAUUAUGUGUUUUGUAAAUAAUCUACGUUUAAUACUCCUAAUUAGUACUAAACAUUCGAUGUGACGGGUGAACCAAACCAGGCCUAUAUCGACCAAGCGCCGUUCUAAUUAGGUGCUAGGCUGCUGCAGCUGCAGCCGCAGCCAGCCCACCGAACGAGCUCGCGCAUCACCUCCUCCAUAAGAACGGUUGGAGGGAUAUCCAGGAGCAGGCAAAUGAAUGAAUGAUUCCUCCAUCCUCCUGUAACUAUUAGUGACGCUUGACUUUCCAUUCCGUGGAGAAGUCUCGGAAAGGUUCCCAAAUUGAACAGCAAGGUCGAGCAAGCAUUGCAUUUCACGAGAAUGGCGUCGACAAACAAAGACUAAGUACUAACCCUACAGAGUACCGUUGGUUCUAGCAUAAUUUAAUCCAUGAUUCUGAUAUGUGAAAAUGGCGUUCGUUUCAGGAGAAUCUGGUCUGUGCUGAACGGUUCCUAGACGUAUGCUAGAUGCUAGUAAAAACGUUUUCUUAGUCCUGUACAUUCUUGAGUUGUGCCUCUGUAAUAUAAAUAGUUUGCCUAGACAUGCGUGGAUCUGUUCUCCUAUAUCUGAAGCCCAUGUAAUCAUAUCGCCUGGUUGUCCUACUACUAAUUAAUCCAUGGAAAAUGGUCAACACGGAACCGCGGGAAAAAUUCUCUCUUGUGAGGACAAUGUUGUAAAAUCGUGAAGUCUUUGUGACAAGGGCGGAUGCCUUUGGUCUUUCAAAAAAAGAAGAGCUGGUGCCUUUCUCUAGUCUUUUUCCGGCAUUCGAGUGCAUCGAGAAGGGUAGUUUGGGAACCAUGAACUUUUCAUCUGGUCAUUUCUCCUAUAGAUGUAAAAGUUGUACCAGCCUUUCACUUUGUACCCUCCAGCUCCAAUCCUCCAUGGUGGCUUGCUGGCCUUUGCGUGUGCUCCUACAGUAGGAUACGCACAUGGCUGGUCGCCCAACGCCUGGACAGCAAACGAAAGAGGUAUUUACUGCGGUUCCCGAAAAGGUUAACUAGCAAAGUAACUGCCACCGACGUUUUACAAGGAAAUACGAACUCUCGAAAUUCUUGUUUCUGUAAUACUGAAGUUUCAAAUUUCGAAGAACCAGCAAACAACCUAAACCUGAGCGAGAGGUUAUGGACAUGCCAGACUAGAAAAUAAAAAUGAUAAGUGGGCGCAUAUCCACAAACCGACCUUAGCUCAGUUGGUAGAGCGGAGGACUGUAGUGUAGGCAGAUAAAUCCUUAGGUCGCUGGUUCGAAUCCGGCAGGUCGGAUGUAUUUGUUUUGAUUUAUUUUUCCUGUAUUUGUCUUUCUUGAUCUUCCGGACUCUAGUCUGCAUGGCAAAUAGUUUUAAAAAGCUUUGUAGAAAAGCAAAUUUCAUUAGCAAAUAUUUUUGCGCAGCAGGGUGGUUUUGGUGAAAAAUGGUCUUAAAACGUUUUUGCAGGAAAAAAGAGAAGAUGCAUGUGACCCAGUAUAUUUUUUGUUUGUUAUUGUUUCAUUCUUUGCAACAGGCUACUUUUGAUGUUGCUUAUUUGCCAUUGCGAAAAAGGGUAAUUGUAAUAUAUCAUGAUUAUCUUUCAAAAAAAUAUAUCAGGAUUACACAGUGCUAUCUUGGUUUACAAAAUAGAUGAGUACUUUGACUUUAACAAUGCAUGCUUUGACAAAAUAAUUUUCCCCUUGAAUUUUAGUUAAUUAAUGCAGUAGAUUGCAUUGUCAUCAGAUUGCUACAUCAAAAAUACUUUAAAAACAUCGUAGAUUUAGUUUAUCCUCAUUUAUUUUUGGAAAAAAAAAUCCACGGCCAGACUUUAAACAAUAAAGUCAAAAGUUACAGUUGUUAUAUUUGUAAAAGGAGGGAGUAAUAUACAUUUUACUAGCAAUCAAAAUGUUAAGCAACUCAUUUAACAACUUUUCAACAUGUAAAAAGACUCCCCGGCUACUGUGACAUGUUCUCUGAAUGUUCGACUUGCUAUGCUAGUUCCCAUUUGAAUUAUUCAGACUUUUAUUUCCCAUGUAAUUGAGCUGCUAUAUGCCUACAAGAGCCCAUCUGAGUUAAUCAUUUCCUUUUUUAAAAAAAAGACUUAUUAAAUGUAUUUUUCCUCCAUGUACCCAAUGUUUUUUUAGUUCUGAUAACUGAAUACUGCUAAAUUCACACAAGAACAGGAAAGCCAACUCAAAAUAAUUGAUUCUUAUUGCUCAUCUCCAACCAACAACUGAAGCAUGCACAACCACCACCGGAACCUCCCAGCACAACCAACAAAUCCUUGCUUUCUUGCUGGUAAGACGGCAGUUUCUUAUCAUGCCCAGCAUUUCUUUGCUCUAGUUCUACCUCUACUCCUAACUCUCUCUAAUCUCUAUGGAAGCCAAACCAUAAUUACAAUGAUAUUGGUAGCUAAAAUCGCUCAACGGUUGGCUUCUAUUCCACUUAAGUCCUACUGCCGACGCAGUCACCCAGCUUAUGAUGGUGGGAAGAACCGGUUGAGGUUGAAUGGCAGGUUGUAGAACUCCUCAUUCCGGCUGUCACCGCGGAACGUCCUGAACCUCGCCCACCAAGGCAUCCCGCGGUCCUUCGCCCUGUUUCUCACCUCCAACGUGUUGUCGAGGAUCACCGAGAUGAUGAAUCCUACGGUUGGGGGUGAGGAAAAGAUGGUGUUGAUGAGGUCAUUGAACUGCACAUUGCACAGAACAGUUUAGUUCAGUUCAGAAAAGUUUUCUGCGUCCAUUCAUUUUCAGCUUAUACAAGGUAUUUACAGCGAGCAGAAAAGGGCUACAUAGUACAUACCCAUCCGGCUCUUGUGUGUGCUGGGCUAUGCUGAGCGCUUAUUGUAAACUGGAAGAAGUACUCUGGGAUGGAGAUGCCAAGGAAGAGUGAGAUGCCUAUGAUGAAGAGGUUGCGCAUCGAGUUCAUGUUUGUGAACUGCAUAAAGGAGAGCCCCACAGCACCUGAAAACAAAAGAGAAAACAGAGGCCUUAGAGAGAUAAAAUCUUGUGAAAUAGCAAAACCAAUAACAAAUUAUUAACAGAAGAGAGAAGUUUUCUUUUGACAUCUGAAACUGAAAGUUCGUACCGACAUAGCCAAACAACACGCAAUAUAUGGCGGCAAACAGUGUGAAUGGGAUCGAUGCGAAGAGCGCUCCAAAUCGCCCUGAAAUUAUGAAAUGUGUUCAGAACCAGAGAAAGAUUGGUGAGUAUAUUGACCUAUAUUGAAAAAAAUAUUCUACCUAGGAUGGAGAAGAAGAUCAUGAAACCAGCAGAGAUCUGGAUCACUCUUCUGCUACCAAUCCUGGUUGAUCCUAGGAGACCGACAUUCUCCCUGUUUUGGGCAAAGUAACAUACAUGAAGUUAGGCCUGGCAUGACACUUGAUAAAGAUCUGAAAGCAAACUUGGUGUGACAGAUUAACACACUUACACAGAGACUGUAGAGCCGCUCACAGUACCAAAUAGACCGUCGAAUAGCAGACCAAUUCCCUGAAUUUUCACAUAAAUCAGCAGAAAGAGGAGAAACCAAAAAUCAUCUUCUCAAUAGAGGAAUCACCAAAUUUCUCAUUGUUUCCUAGUGUGUGACAUUAACUGACCUGCCAUCCAAUGCCCCUACUCAGGACAAACGGUGGUGGUGGCGUCGCACUUGCCAACCGGGCAGCAGCCAUAAAUGCUCCAGUAGACUGCAAUGUUCAAAAUAUCGUCAGACAAAUCAGAUCAGCAUAAUGUUAACUAACUGCAUUGUGUAGCUACAAUAAAUCACAUAGUAGUAAUGGAACCUUACCUCUAUUAAGGACACCAGCACGGCAGACAUCAUACCGAAUGAAUGAUCUGCACUGAACGUCGGUGCACCCCAUUGCAGUGGGUAUGGAAUACUGAUCCUGAAGAAUAUUUUUGAUCAAGUUAUUUUGAAGUGUGAAAUAGUGAGAGGAAAA